GAUGAACGCUGGCGGCGUGCUUAACACAUGCAAGUCGAACGAAGCACUUUAUUUGAUUUCCUUCGGGACUGAUUAUUUUGUGACUGAGUGGCGGACGGGUGAGUAACGCGUGGGUAACCUGCCUUGUACAGGGGGAUAACAGUUGGAAACGGCUGCUAAUACCGCAUAAGCGCACAGCAUCGCAUGAUGCAGUGUGAAAAACUCCGGUGGUAUAAGAUGGACCCGCGUUGGAUUAGCUAGUUGGUGAGGUAACGGCCCACCAAGGCGACGAUCCAUAGCCGACCUUGGAGGGUGACCGGCCACAUUGGGAACGAGACACGGCCCAAACUCCUACGGGAGGCAGCAGUGGGGAAUAUUGCACAAUGGGCGAAAGCCUGAUGCAGCGACGCCGCGUGAGCGAAGAAGUAUUUCGGUAUGUAAAGCUCUAUCAGCAGGGAAGAUAAUGACGGUACCUGACUAAGAAGCACCGGCUAAAUACGU
rnacentral:rRNA from 1 species